AUUAUACUCCCUCCGUCCCAAAAUACAAUUUGUUUUGACUUUUCUAGAUACAUAUGUUUUGUUAUGCAUCUAGAUAUACACCAUGUCUAGAUACAUAAUAAAACAUAUGUAUCUAGAAAAGCCAAAACAAAUUGUAUUUUGGGACGGAGGGAGUAGAAA
rfam:Dichanthelium oligosanthes cultivar Kellogg 1175 unplaced genomic scaffold Do_version_2_scaffold3471, whole genome shotgun sequence.